CGAAGGUAGCGAAAUCACUUGUCUCCUAAAUAGAGACCUGUAUGAAAGGCCCAAUGAGAAAGAAACUGUCUCUUGAAGUUAGCCAAUGAAACUGAUCUGCCCGUGCAAAAGCAGGCAUAACAAAACAAGACAAAAAGACCCUGUGAAACUUAAAAUAAACGCCAAUAACAUGUCGAUAUUUUUAGGUUGGGGCAACCAAAGAGAAACAAAACCUCUAAAACACAUUAGACUAACAAGUCUAACCAAACCAAUAUGACCCAGUAAAACUGAUUAAUGAACCAAGCUACUCCAGGGAUAACAGCGCCAAAUUCUUGAAGAGUCCACAUCAACAAGAAUCCCUACGACCUCGAUGUUGGAUCAGGAUAACCCAACAGCGCAAAAGCUGCUAACGGUUCGUUUGUUCA
rnacentral:rRNA from 1 species